rnacentral:rRNA from 1 species
AUUGAACGCUGGCGGCAGGCCUAACACAUGCAAGUCGAGCGGAUGAAGGGAGCUUGCUCCUGGAUUCAGCGGCGGACGGGUGAGUAAUGCCUAGGAAUCUGCCUGGUAGUGGGGGAUAACGUCCGGAAACGGGCGCUAAUACCGCAUACGUCCUGAGGGAGAAAGUGGGGGAUCUUCGGACCUCACGCUAUCAGAUGAGCCUAGGUCGGAUUAGCUAGUUGGUGGGGUAAAGACCUACCAAGGCGACGAUCCGUAACUGGUCUGAGAGGAUGAUCAGUCACACUGGAACUGAGACACAGUCCAGACUCCUACGGGAGGCAGCAGUGGGGAAUAUUGGACAAUGGGCGAAAGCCUGAUCCAGCCAUGCCGCGUGUGUGAAGAAGGUCUUCGGAUUGUAAAGCACUUUAAGUUGGGAGGAAGGGCAGUAAGUUAAUACCUUGCUGUUUUGACGUUACCAACAGAAUAAGCACCGGCUAACUUCGUG